CCGGAAAUUCUUUCAUAUUAAAAUUCGACCACCAAUAUAAAACCCCGGAAAUUAUACAUCUAUACGAUCAUUCACUAACGGAUUUACGCAUACAUUUUCAUAUUUCUGUGACAUGCCUACACAUCAUAUAUGAACACAGUCCCACAGUAGAGCCAAGUUAUCAGGAAUGACUUACAGAUCGAUUCUUCCCGACAACAAUAUGGAAAAUAGGUAUCAAUAAUUAAUAAAUAUGAAAUCAAAGGAGAAAGAUGGUACCAUAAAGAGGACUUGCUCUCAUGCAUAUUCAUCAG
rnacentral:lncRNA from 1 species